CCCUUAGAUGUUCUGGGCUGCACGCGCGCUACACUGACGCACGCAACAGGCGCCUGCUCCGAGAGGACUGGGUAAUCAUUUGAGUGUGCGUCGUGAUGGGGAUAGAAUAUUGUAAUUAUUACUCUUCAACGAGGAAUUCCUAGUAAGCGCCAGUCAGCAGCUUGCGCUGAUUACGUCCCUGCCCUUUGUACACACCGCCCGUCGCUCCUACCGAUGGGUGAUCCGGUGAAUGAUUCGGACUUCAGCGGCUCCCCUGGGGUGCGCCGGAGAAAGUUUUGUGAACCUUAUCACUUGGAGGAAGGAGAAGUCGUAACA
rnacentral:rRNA from 1 species